GACGACUCAUAAUAACUGAUCGAAUCGCAUGGGCUUUGCCCGCGAUACAUCAUUCAAGUUUCUGCCCCAUCAGCUUUCGAUGGUAGUGUAUUGGACUACCAUGGCUUUCACGGGUAACGGAGGAUUAGGGUUCGAUUCCGGAGAGGGAGCCUGAGAAACGGCUACCACAUCUAAGGAAGGCAGCAGGCGCGUAAAUUACCCAAUCCUGACUCAGGGAGGUAGUGACAAGAAAUAACGGACCGAAGCCUAUGUUUCGGGAUUGCAAUGAGUAGAAUUUAAACCCCUUUACGAGGAUCAAUUGGAGGGCAAGUCUGGUGCCAGCAGCCGCGGUAAUUCCAGCUCCAAUAGCGUAUAUUAAAUUUGUUGCAGUUAAAAAGCUCGUAGUUGGAUUUCUGAGAGGGCGCCAAUGUCCGCUGAUUGCGUGUGCAGCGGUGCCCUCUCAUCCUUCUGUUAACGUUUCUGAUAUUCAUUUAUUGGUCUCGGGCUCAGAUAUUUUACCUUGAGAAAAUUAGAGUGUUCCAGGCAGGCUAGCGCCGGAAUACAUUAGCAUGGAAUAAUAGAAUAGGACUUUAGUCUCCUUUGUUGGUUUGAGGGACUGAAGUAAUGAUUAAUAGGGACAGUUGGGGGCAUUAGUAUUUAAUUGUCAGAGGUGAAAUUCUCGGAUUUGUUAAAGACUAACUUAUGCGAAAGCAUUUGCCAAGGAUGUUUUCAUUAAUCAAGAACGAAAGUUAGGGGAUCAAAGACGAUCAGAUACCGUCCUAGUCUUAACCAUAAACUAUGCCGACUAGGGAUCGGAGGCGCGCCUUAUCCGCCUUCGGCACCUUAUGAGAAAUCAAAGUCUUUGGGUUCUGGGGGGAGUAUGGUCGCAAGGCUGAAACUUAAAGGAAUUGACGGAAGGGCACCACCAGGAGUGGAGCUUGCGGCUCAAUUUGACUCAACACGGGAAAACUUACCAGGUCCAGACAUAGUGAGGAU
rnacentral:rRNA from 1 species